UUGAUUUGUGUGGAAAGUGAAUCCUCGCUGGCUAGGCGUUCAGCAGAGGCGCAGCAGCCGCAAAGCCAGCCAAUUAUUGCCGGUCCUCCCCUCUAACACCGCUCUCACCACCUAUACCCUCCUUUCUGUGUCGGUCUCCACUUACCCCCACCCACUUUUCCCCGCGCGGACGGAGCUGAGCGGGGGCUCCCUCCCGGGAGCGUGUCUAGAGCUCGGAGGCAGCUGGUAGGGGUUUUACAGUCCACAUGUUUUAAGUCUAACAGAAAAAAAAAUCUUGAAGUUGUGAGACAGUUCCAAGUCUGCAUCUACAUCCUCAGGUUGGUGACCUUGGGGCACCACUUUCAGAUAAAAACAUAGACCUGAAUGGCAUCAUCCAGUAUCCAAGGAAACCAUGUAUUCAAGUAGUCACUCCUUCUCUGCCUGAUUUGAGACCAUGUUACCUACAGCUGCAUGGGACUGCAGAACUCACUGUGCCCUUCGAAUGUUAUGCCUGUCUGUCUCACUGACCCUUGGGUUGGGUGACAGCCUUGGAUGGGGCCCGUGCUGUAUUUAUGAUCCCAAAUGUGAGUACUGACCUGGUAUUGCUAAAAAUCCAUUCUGCCUCACACCUGUAGCAGGGAGAAGGGCCACAGACAUAGUGAGUCCCCGGAGAGUGGCCUCCCACUGAUUACACCAUAGUCAGAGGCUCACUCACUUUCUUAUCUGCUAUUUAAUUCUUCCUAGUUCCAAAAAGCUUUUUCAUAACUUUCAGUAAGACGCAUACAGUAAGGAGCAGAACGAAGCCAAGUAAGAAAUAAGGGGUGGGAUUAAACUGAACCAGAAAUUCAUGGCCUUCCUGCAAAGAAGCCUGAAGUUGAGUAACUUGAAUUUUAGACUCAAGUGUUCUGCCAGUCAGAGAAAAAGGGAGGUGUGAAAACCGACGCCACCCACUAUCAGAUCAGAGUGGGGCAGGAGAUUCAGUUCAUCAAGAGAGAUGCUCUUGUUUCCUAACUGUGCGUUUUGGGGAGGAAUGUAUUGAGUGGUUUGUUACAUAGAAUUUUUGUAUCUGACCAUCAUAUUAAAAUGCCAGUGCAUGUUGCUGAAUCCUUUCUAGCAUGAAACGCUUCAAAAAAUUAUUCUUCUUCACAAUGCCUUUAGACUAGCACAGUUCAAUAAUUUUCUAGUAUCCACAGUAAAAAGUAAAAAGAUACAUGUGAGAGUAAUUUAAUGAUAUACACAUUCCACUCAAUAUAUCCAAAAAUAUUAUCUCAACAGGUAAUGAGUAUAAAAAUUAUUGGCACAUUUUCUUUUGUAACUAAGUCUUUGGAGUCCAGUGUUUAUUUUUGCCCUUACGGCACAACUCAGUUUGGACUAGUCACAUUUCAAGUGCUCAUAGCCACAUGUGGGUGAGUGGGGUAGUGGUGGAAGAGGCAAGUCUUGUUUAUUGUAAUAUCCUCGUGAUAAUUUCAGUCUUGAGAUUUCACAGCUACAGUUAUCAUCAGGAACCUUUAAAGGCAAAUUCUGCGUUCCUUGUACUGAGUGGUUGGUCAUUAAUCUAAAAGUUAUCAUUUUAUGUCACCAAAACGAAUUUGAUGAGAAGAACAAAUAGAUUCAGUCAUUAUCAAGAAAGCAAAUAACUUGCUCUGAAAACUUAUGGACCCUUACUUUCCAUCCUUGUCAUUAGUGAAUGUACUAUAAUUUACAUUAUCUGGGAGAUUCUCUUGAUCUCUUUUUAUGCCACCUGUUUCCUUAAGACUUCCGUGAUUUCACCAGCUUUCUCUUCUAGGGUUCCAAUGAGAAUUCGUUUGUAUUUUUUCAAAGAUAUUCAUGACUUUUUGCUUGACAUUCAGUUACCGGUUCAUUUCUUUGAUAGCCCCUUGUUGAGAACUGAGACUUGUUGGCUGUCAAGUCUUCAAUGCCUUGCAUGGAGUAAAGUGUAGUCGGUAGUGCUUGUUGAAUGAACACGUAUGUGUCUUCUCCUCUGAUUUAUGGUCUGGAAAACAGGGGCAUGUUUUGACUCCUUUGUAGCAUAGUGUGGGGGAUGUACUUGAUGCUUAAUGAAUUCUUGCUGACUGGACCCAGGACUUAUAAUUGGCCUUCCUAGUCUUGGUCCAAAACUGUAUCCAUCAAACUGUUAAAUUACAUCCCUGAAAAGACAAUCACUGUUUUCAUUUGGAGGAAGAAGUACAAAAACACAUCACCAACCUUUGUUGCUGGUUCCUAACUGACUCUAUGAAAAAAGGAAAGAAUUAAUGGAGAAAGUGACACUAACUUUAGUUAAAUGCCAAUAAAGUACAAUAUACAAUUUUUGCCAGAAGGAAAAGUAGGACUAUUUUCCUAGGUCCUAAACAUUAUGAUGAAAGAAUCUAGUCUGUGCAUAUUUGAAUCAUUCAUUCUUCCAUCCAAUAAAUACCAAACACCUGUUAUAAUUAAGACAUUGUGUUAGGCACAGGGGAUAAAAAAAAUGAAGCAUUUUGACCCUCAGGUUGCUCACAUUUUAGUUGGAAAGCCAGAGCAUGACAAAGACCUUUUUAAACCAUUUGUAAGUUUAGAGCAAGCUAGCUACUAAUGGGAAGAAGAUUCAGUAAAUCUAAUUUUCACUCUGUUUUUCCUUCAGUGGUGUUGGCUAAUAAGUAUUUUUAGAAUAAAUGUGUAUAUAGUGGUUUGUUUUCAAAGACGUUACAUUAUUUGGCAUUUAUUACAUUUUAUUUAUUUCUUUGAUGGAUUAAUUGCAGUUAAAUUACCUUAGCAUGCUAGAACAGAUUUUACAGAUUUUGACAUAUGAUUAACUAGCAUAAGGCAUAACUAAUAUGGUUUUUAGUGGCAUGCUAUGUAUUAAAGCAUAACAUUUAAACACACACUUCAUCAGGGAUUUUUGCAGUUACAGUGAAUUAGAAAGAUUUAGAUAUCGGAACUCUCCCCCACUGCUGCCUGCCUUAAGGGAGGGGCAGGAAUUUUAUAAUUGAGAUUAUUAUAGAAGAGUGUCCUGACAUAAUUGAUUGACUUUAGUGAUGUGCCCUGAAAGUUCAAAUUCAAGGUGUGCACUUAUUUCAGUCAGCUUAUUCUGAAUGUUUAAAUAAGAAAUACUAUUUCUGGGUAUUCUGAACAACUCGCUGUACAUUUAUUCCUAAUAGUGAGCAUUUGGACUAAUGAUGGAUUACUAAUGAGCAUGUAAAUGUACCACCUGAUUACAUUAAUAUAUGAUCUUCCAUGACGAGGUCUGAAAUGAACAUUUCUAGUGUGUAUUUCUUUUCCCCAAAUGGCACUGUGGUGUAUACUGAGCAGGACCGAGACAAGGGUGUUUUUCUUACGAGCCACUGAUUUAGUCAA